CGUACACUCCUGCGGGAGGCAGCAGUGGGGAAUUUUGGACAAUGGGCGAAAGCCUGAUCCAGCCAUGCCGCGUGCAGGAUGAAGGCCUUCGGGUUGUAAACUGCUUUUGUACGGAACGAAACGGCCUUUUCUAAUAAAGAGGGCUAAUGACGGUACCGUAAGAAUAAGCACCGGCUAACUACGUGCCAGCAGCCGCGGUAAUACGUAGGGUGCAAGCGUUAAUCGGAAUUACUGGGCGUAAAGCGUGCGCAGGCGGUUAUGUAAGACAGUUGUGAAAUCCCCGGGCUCAACCUGGGAACUGCAUCUGUGACUGCAUAGCUAGAGUACGGUAGAGGGGGAUGGAAUUCCGCGUGUAGCAGUGAAAUGCGUAGAUAUGCGGAGGAACACCGAUGGCGAAGGCAAUCCCCUGGACCUGUACUGACGCUCAUGCACGAAAGCGUGGGGAGCAAACAGGAUUAGAAACCCUUGUAGUCCCAU
rnacentral:rRNA from 1 species